CCCUAAUCCCCACCCCUUCCCUAACUCUCUCCCACUGCCGCCGCCACCCUCAUUUCUCUCUCUCGAACUCCCUCUCCCACUGCUCUCUCUUCCCCGUCUCUCUUCUGCUCGUCCCCACCGCGAGCCCCGACGCCGGCGCCGGCCAAUCGCCCCCUCCACAUGAGCCCAUCCCUCUCCCCCACGAACUCUCCUCUCCCCCAAACUCUCUCCUCCUUCCUUAUCUCUCCCCUAAACUCUCUCCUCCUUAUCUGCAUCAACCGUCGGCGUCAUGGACGAUGAGGAGGAGCUGUGCGCCCGUCCUCCCUGCCUCGCCGGUGAAGGACGCCUCUGGAUCUGGCCGCGGGCGACUCCGGCCGACCCCUGGAGCAGCGGUGGAGCGUGGCGCCUGGAGGAGCAGAAGUCAGCCCCUACGCAUACCAGAUCUGAGCAGAUCGGAAGCCACCGGCCUUCUCCCUCUUAAGGUGGUAGCCGCCGCCGUGGCCGGCGACGAGGUGGGCGCCGCCAUGGGGAGCCAACUCCCCGCCCCACCCCGCAUCGGAGGAAGAUGGCGCGGCCUGGUGCGUGCGGCGGCUCCAAAUCCACCGGGAUCUAGCGGUUUCGGUGAAUCCAUGGGACGAUGUUAUUUUUAUUUUUAAUUGUGUUUCUCUGUUGUGAAUGCAUGGGAUGUAAUAUUUGAUUGCUAAUUGUGUUCUGUUGAGACUGCAUGCAAUGUAAUUUUUGAUUGCUAAUUGUGUUCUGUUGUGCCCGCAUGCAAGGUAAUUUUUGGUUGCUAAUUGUGUUCAGCUGUGACUGCAUAUGCGACGAUUUUUAGUUUCUGCUGUAUGCAAUUGGGAAAAAAAAUCAUGGCUAGCAUAAUUAUAUGCUAGCCGUGAGAUUUUUUUUAA